AAAAUAAUUUACGUAUACUUUUCCCCUUAUUUUAAAAAUAAAUUUGCUUGAAAUUGCGUAAAAAUCCAAAAGUUGGACUUUAAUGUACUGAAAUCUGGGUUUGUGGAUUUGAAUACAUCAAUACAGAUAAAUUUGUGAUUGCUGUUUCAGAUUUAUGGUGACAGAAAAUCUACAUACAUGUUAGUUGGAAUUUGGUUAUGCUUGGGUUAAUCAACGACUUGGGUUUAUUCAAUGAGUUGAGUUUAAUGAUUUGGGUUUUCUGGUCAGAAGAUGUUCCGGUUAUCAGUUGAUCACUGGAUUUUAGAAUGGGCUGAUCUUUGCGAUCAAGUCUCUAGGCACGUCCAUUAUUCUUACCUGGUACACAUUUGAAAUUUUCUAGCAUAUUUUGUUUCCCACAAUUGUUUAGUUAAAAAAUGCUGUCUAUUAUGCCUCAUGGCUUGAUAGUUUUCAGUUGGCUAUCUGCUAUCCGAUAAAAUUCGGCCUUCUUCGUACUGUCCUCUGACUUACUCUUAAGUACACUGCUGAUAGUCAUUAUACAUCCAGGAUUCAUUCACAAUAAUUUAGCUUCCAAUGCUGGUCAAUAAUUUACAAUUUUCA
rnacentral:misc_RNA from 1 species